rnacentral:rRNA from 1 species
UCAGAUUGAACGCUGGCGGCAGGCUUAACACAUGCAAGUCGAACGGUAACAUAAAGAAGCUUGCUUCUUUGAUGACGAGUGGCGGACGGGUGAGUAAUGCUUGGGAAUCUGGCUUAUGGAGGGGGAUAACUACGGGAAACUGUAGCUAAUACCGCGUAAUAUCGAAAGAUUAAAGUGUGGGACCUUCGGGCCACAUGCCAUAGGAUGAGCCCAAGUGGGAUUAGGUAGUUGGUGAGGUAAAGGCUCACCAAGCCGACGAUCUCUAGCUGGUCUGAGAGGAUGACCAGCCACACUGGGACUGAGACACGGCCCAGACUCCUACGGGAGGCAGCAGUGGGGAAUAUUGCGCAAUGGGGGCAACCCUGACGCAGCCAUGCCGCGUGAAUGAAGAAGGCCUUCGGGUUGUAAAGUUCUUUCGGUAGCGAGGAAGGUGGUUAGUUUAAUAGGCUAGCCAAUUGACG